AUUGAACGCUGGCGGCAUGCCUUACACAUGCAAGUCGAACGGCAGCAUGAUCUAGCUUGCUAGAUUGAUGGCGAGUGGCGCACGGGUGAGUAAUACAUCGGAACGUGCCCUGUAGUGGGGGAUAACUAGUCGAAAGAUUAGCUAAUACCGCAUACGACCUGAGGGUGAAAGUGGGGGACCGCAAGGCCUCAUGCUAUAGGAGCGGCCGAUGUCUGAUUAGCUAGUUGGUGAGGUAAAGGCUCACCAAGGCGACGAUCAGUAGCUGGUCUGAGAGGACGAUCAGCCACACUGGGUCUGAGACACGGCCCAGACUCCUACGGGAGGCAGCAGUAGGGAAUUUUGGACAAUGGGCGAAAGCCUGAUCCAGCAAUGCCGCGUGUGUGAAGAAGGCCUUCGGGUUGUAAAGCACUUUUGUCCGGGAAGAAAUGGCUCUGGUUAAUACCUGGGGUCGAUGACGGUACCGGAAGAAUAAGGACCGGCUAACUUCGUG
rnacentral:rRNA from 1 species